UACGUAGGGUGCUAGAGUUGUCCGGAUUUACUGGGUGUAAAGGGUGCUCAGGGGGGUUUGUAAGUCAGAGGUGAAAUCCCAAAGCUUAACUUUGGUGCUGCCUUUGAUACUGCAAGUCUGGAGUUUGAGAGAGGGUAAUGGAAUAUCUGGUGUAGCAGUGAAAUGCGUAGAUAUCAGAUAGAACACCAAUGGCGAAGGCAGUUACCUGGCUCAAUACUGACGCUAAAGCACGAAAGUGUGGGGAGCAAGCAGG
rnacentral:rRNA from 1 species